AGUAUAAUAACAUUUAUAACUUGCUGAUAUACAAAUUUAAUUUUGUCAUUAAAUGCAGUCAAUAACAAAUUAAUUACCUAAAGCAGUACUGCAAUAAGUGCUAACACAUCUGGGACAAGUAAGUAAACUACAAAAACUGGUUUCUUUUCCACAGUAAAUGAAGUCAGUCAUUGGUGGGUGUGAAUUAUAAUAACCUUCAACAACCUAAUGUAGCUGGGCUUUUGCGUCGAUCAGUCGUAUCUGAUGAAAAUGUAUGUCAGUGACUAAACCUAGGCUAAAGUUCUAUCAGUACCUCUUAACGCGUUUAAGGUCACUAACAAUUUAGACCAGAAGACAGUUUAAGUGAGAUAAGUACUAAAGAAAGAAAUAUACAUUUGAAAAAAGCAUGUAACUUCUCUCAAAUUUUUUUCUUAUAACAUUUUUUUAAAAUUUUUUACUUUAAGCAUUGUAGUCGGCAUAAUAACAAUAUUUACAACAUUGCUCGCCAACCACCGCAUUUUUCAAAUGGAAAUUCACAUUUUGGAAAGACCCUAAUACUUUAUUUCCAAGAUAGGGGAGAAGAGUCAUCGAAUUAACCAGAGAAAGAAUUUCUCCAAUUUUUUCUACCUAACCCUGCAAUGUAAUCCCUCAAAUUUAGAGUAAUUAACAAGAUUUUUUCAUGAAAACGGUCCGAGACACGGUAGUGUCCAGAGAAAAACACAUUUAUCGCAAAGAUUUAAUCCAUUUAGUUCUUCAACUUAAAAACAGAGGAACAGUGACUGAUGAUGAGACAAUAAUGCAUCAGAAUGAUCAAAAACAAGAACCCACUUUCACAACCAUAAACUUGCGGUCUUUUGAAACUCCAUCAACUACCAUGACUUUUGCUUUUUAUAAACUCGGUACAAAUUAAGACAUUAAAAAAAAUUAAGAAAUGUUUGUACAGUAGUAGGUAUGUACUUGGAAAACACAACAACGAACUAAUUUAUAAUAUGCAAUUAUGGAAAUGACGUACAUUGAUCAAGUUUUAAAUGAAAUUUUAAGAAAAUAUUCUCCACUACCAAUUUUAUUGAGACAAUGUAAUUACAAAAAUUCGUAUUCCAAAAAGAGUUGAUGUUGCUAUCACAACUUUGGCGUUAGACCGUGAUUUAGAAUUUUACCUAAAUCCUGAUGUUUUCGAUCUUGAACAUUUUAAUGAAGAAAAUAAGUAAGCAAGAACACCGUUUACGUGGCUUCCGUUCAAAGACGGGCCCAGAAUUUGUAUUGGUUUACGUUUCGGAAUUAUGCAAAGUAAAGUCGGUCUUUGCAGCUUUACUAAAGAAUUACAGUCACUUUAAAUAAGAAGACCAUUCUUCCGUUGCAAUUAAGCAAAAAGUUUUAUUAUAGUGACAGAAGACGGAGUUUGGUUCAACAUUAAAAAAUUAAUACCUAAUUUAAAAACAGAUGAUAUAAUUUUUAACACCAUUUGUUUAGUUAUGAAAUUUCAAAUUCGAAGUGGGCUAUUUUUUCUUAAGACGGAGGUAAAAAUUUCAAAGUCGAUGUUAAAACUUAUCAACAAACAUGUAAAUUGGUUUGUUUAUAUUAAUUUUUGGACUGAAGAUGGCAAGAUGUCUUGACGAAACUAGUUUCCCAGUUUAAUCAAAUUCUAACAAAUACAUUUUAAUUUGAGGGUUCGACUUUGAAUUUUUUAGUAUUUGUUUGAUUAAAAAUUACUAAAAUUACAGAAAGGUAUGAGAACAUCCUGUUCAUUACAAACCGACGUGCAUAUUUGGUUGCCAGCAUUAUCACAGAAAUUCUGCAUUUAUUUCUACUCAGAGAAUUUUAUAAGCGUGUGCUCUUUGUAAAGUUAGAAAAACCCAUUAAAAGAAUAAGUGCAAGUGGCACUUUUAGCAAAAGACAUGUUAAAGAAUUUGAGUGCAUUUGCAGUGAGUGCUGAUUAGUUGUAAUACUUAGUUCAAGUGUACAUUUGGCAAGUGGAAAUCGGAAAGUUCACUAAUUGUCAAGUCCACCACGUCCGCUUGAAAUGUAAGAAAUAAUAAUAUAAUACUAAUAAAGAACAACAACUCGAAUGUAACUUUUGCUUGUUUUUAAAACAAAACAUUUAUUAUAUUGCAUAAGUGUUACUUACGAUUGUCACUAGGUGCUGUAUUGAAAGACCUUUCUUACCUGUAACAAAAAAAUAAUUAUAUUAUUUUUGCUAAGUAAAUGUGUGUUGGAGCAUUUAAAUACAUACAGUGAUGAUUUUAUUUUGCUGAACAUCAACACUAUUAACCCCAUGUUUAAUUUUCAAAAAAACAUAUCAAUACCAUUACAAGCAAUUACAACAUAUUCAAUGUUAGUAACAAGUGAUCAAUGUAUUGACACAAAUAUUCAAAAACUGAACAUAAACACGCAUAUUCAUCGAAA